GCUGGGCACAGUGGCUCAGGCCUGUAAUCCCAGCAGCUCAGGAGGCUGAGGCAGGAGGAUCAUUAGUUCAAAGCCAGCCUCAGCAACUUAGCAAGGCCCUAAGCAACUCAGUGAGACCCUGUCUCUA
rnacentral:sRNA from 1 species